rnacentral:rRNA from 1 species
CCAGAGAACUUUCCAGAGAUGGAUUGGUGCCUUCGGGAACUCUGAGACAGGUGCUGCAUGGCUGUCGUCAGCUCGUGUUGUGAAAUGUUGGGUUAAGUCCCGCAACGAGCGCAACCCUUAUCCUUUGUUGCCAGCGGUUAGGCCGGGAACUCAAAGGAGACUGCCAGUGAUAAACUGGAGGAAGGUGGGGAUGACGUCAAGUCAUCAUGGCCCUUACGAGUAGGGCUACACACGUGCUACAAUGGCGCAUACAAAGAGAAGCGACCUCGCGAGAGCAAGCGGACCUCAUAAAGUGCGUCGUAGUCCGGAUUGGAGUCUGCAACUCGACUCCAUGAAGUCGGAAUCGCUAGUAAUCGUGGAUCAGAAUGCCACGGUGAAUACGUUCCCGGGCCUUGUACACACCGCCCGUCACACCAUGGGAGUGGGUUGCAAAAGAAGUAGGUAGCUUAACCUUCGGGAGGGCGCUUACCACUUUGUGAUUCAUGACUGGGGUGAAGUCGUAACAAGGUAAGCGUAGCGAG